rnacentral:rRNA from 1 species
AUAUUCUGUAGCAAGGUUAACCGAUUAGGGGAGCCGUAGCGAAAGCGAGUGUUAACUGCGCGUUUAGUUGCAGGGUAUAGACCCGAAACCCGGCGAUCUACCCAUGGGCAGGUUGAAGGUUGAGUAACAUCAACUGGAGGACCGAACACACGUAUUUGAAAAAUGCGGUGAUGACUUGUGGGUCGGAGUGAAAGGCUAAUCAAGCCGGGAGAUAGCUGGUUCUCCCCGAAAUCUAUUUAGGUAGAGCCUCGCACGAACACCAUUGGGGGUAGAGCACUGUUAAGGCUAGGGGGUCAUCCCGACUUACCAACCCUUUGCAAACUCCGAAUACCAAUGAGUGAUAUGCGGGAGACACACUGCGGGUGCUAACGUCCGUUGUGAAGAGGGAAACAACCCAGACCGCCAGCUAAGGUCCCAAAGUACUAGUUAAGUGGGAAACGAUGUGGAAAGGCAUAGACAGCUAGGAGGUUGGCUUAGAAGCAGCCAUCCUUUAAAGAAAGCGUAACAGCUCACUGGUCUAAAUAAGCCGUCCUGCGCCGACAAUGUAUCGGGGCUAAAGCCAUGCACCGAAGCUGCGGACUUCCUUCACAGGAAGUGGUAGCGGAGCGUUCCGUAGGCCGAUGAAUGGCCGCCGCGAGGCGGCCUGGAGGUAUCGGAAGUGAGAAUGCUGACAUGAGUAGCGACAAACAGAGUGAGAAACUCUGUCGCCGAAAGUCCAAGGGUUCCUGCGCAAGGCUAAUCCGCGCAGGGUGAGCCGGCCCCUAAGCCGAGGGCGAAAGCCGUAGGCGAUGGGAACUCGGGUUAAUAUUCCCGGGCCUGCGGGUGGUGACGAAUGCUGAAAGUUGUCCGGACUUAUCGGAUUGUCCGGGCCGCGAAGGUGUUCCAGGAAAUAACCCCCGCGAUCAGACCGUACCCCAAACCGACACAGGUGGACUGGUAGAGCAUACCAAGGCGCUUGAGAGAACGAUGUUGAAGGAACUCGGCAAAUUGCCCCCGUAACUUCGGGAGAAGGGGGCCCGGUCUUUGGGCAACCAAUGGCCGGGGGCACAGACCAGGGGGUGGCGACUGUUUAUUAAAAACAUAGGGCUCUGCGAAGCCGCAAGGCGACGUAUAGGGUCUGACGCCUGCCCGGUGCCGGAAGGUUAAGAGGAGGUGUGCAAGCACUGAAUCGAAGCCCCGGUAAACGGCGGCCGUAACAAUAACGGUCCUAAGGUAGCGAAAUUCCUUGUCGGGUAAGUUCCGACCUGCACGAAUGGCGUAACGACUUCCCCACUGUCUCCAACAUCGACUCAGCGAAAUUGAACUCUCCGUGAAGAUGCGGAGUUCCCGCGGUCAGACGGAAAGACCCCGUGCACCUUUACUACAGCUUUGCAGUGGCAUUAGGAAUUGAAUGUGCAGGAUAGGUGGGAGGCUUUGAAGCACCGGCGUCAGCCGGUGUGGAGCCAACCUUGAAAUACCACCCUUUUGGCUUCUGAUGUCUAACCGCGGUUCAUGAAACUGGGCCCGGGACCCUGCAUGGCGGGUAGUUUGACUGGGGCGGUCGC